AAUAAACCUCCUCUUUCUUACAGGAAAGGAAAUAGGAAAACUAACCUGAGUUUUUUGGUUUGGACCUUGCUAAAGGACUAUUUGCCUUCUCAGUCCUUCCUUGGAGCCAAAAGCUUGUGUCCUCUUGAAUUGCAUGCCAGAUAUCUCCACUGAUGGCUAUGGAAAUGUUUAUCAAGAGGUCUGAAUGUCACCUCCCUGCUGCAGAUUCCCAGAGAGGGUCGGCCGCUUGGGCAGCUGGUGGAGCAGAGCGCGAAGAGAUGCAUGUCCUGGCCAGGUCUUCGCUGUCCCUGCUCACCUCCUCUGCUAUCAUUCAUUGAGCACAGACACCUCCUGGGGAACCGUCUGCCUCGCUGUUCAAACCCCACCGAUACACGUAGCUUUGCCGUUUGACCUUUGAGACAUCUCCUCUCUUGGUUACCAUUGCCCUUUCACAGCCGCCACCCGGCUGGAGACAGAGCAGAUGAAUGUGCCGAUAGCAGUGCAAGCACCCAGAGGAACACCGAGAAGCACGGCAGUGGCAAGACUCUAUUCGCUGGGAAGGAUUAAGGCAGGAUUUUUAUUACUGUGCAAGGCAGAAAGAAACCUCUGGGGGUUUGAGCUUUUAUCAUGCAUCCCAAGUUGUCUCAGAGCUGUGUGGUGAGGACAGGUGGGAUGCAGCAUGCAGGUUCAACCAGGUGGUCAGGGGACUCUGCUCCCUUCAUCUCAUGCUGGACUCUGAUGCCCACCUUGUUACACAGAGGAACCUACUAGUGCAGGAGGAGAUACCUGGUUUAGAGGGAUGAAAUCAUUCUUCUGUAACAUAGAGACAAUUCUCAGCCGGCACCACCAGAAGUACCUCACAGGCACUUUGGGAGGCGGCUGCCAAGGACAGUGUCUCGGGCUCCCUGUUCUAACACUGAGAGGAGCUACUGAGACCAUGGCGGGGGAUGGACCUGGACAACAUGCAGGCUAACAAGGCUGGCUGAGGCCUCUCCCCUGCCUCCCCCGGCAGGAAUCCUCUGCAGAGCUGGCGUGUCCCCAGGUUUACAACAAACACAGAAGAUGCAGAACAAGUCUGCAGCCUCAGGAAUAUUUGGCGGUGGAGUGUCCAUGCCAGCCCAUCAGUACUCGAAUCACUCAUCUGUUUGUCCGCUUUAAAGCAACCGACUCUACCCACCUCGCUCUCACUGUCACAACAGCCCUCAUUAUGCCUUGAAGUUCUCGGCACUGUGCCUUCACGCAGUACAGAGUUUUUCUCACUACAUCUCAGCCAUGGAGUAUAUUUGCAAAUAACAGCUCUCAUGACAGCUGGCACCUCUCCUCUCCAUCAGCGCCGGUGCCAGUCAUCAUGCUGGAAAUGGCACUGUGGAUCACAGGAGCAGUCCAGCAGCCCUGGGUGAGAGCUUGCAAGUCAGUUCAUUACUGCCUUUAUGCUCUCCCCUAAUCUGUUGCAGUGAGCGGUGUCUCUGCCCCUGCUGGAGCUAAUGUCAUUUUUCAUCCUUGUGGUCACUGUUAGCAGUCAAGCAAAAAAUGUCAGUUUUAAUUACAGCAUUUAUUUACACAUAUCUCUCCUGCUUUAAACUGAGAGACAGACCUCCCUCCUCAUCACAUGCGACUUAUACCCUUCUGUUAGAGAAACAGGUAUAAUUCUUGCCAAACGGAGUAAAUCUCUUAGUAGCACCCGCUUAUGUGUCUUCUCGAAGCAAAUAACUGUAAUCAAUGACCUAUUUAAAAAAUGAGAAAAUUUGAUUUUUUUUUAAAGUGGUUUCAGGCUUGCUAAACAGGUGCUGUAGUAAAUCUGGCGUGUCUCUAAUAUACUGCUCUGGUAAUCCCUGUUUGCUUUUUAUUUCCACGUGUAUUGAUUGUUCUCUUUAUGACCACAAUAAACAAAAUU